AUUGAACGCUGGCGGCAGGCCUAACACAUGCAAGUCGAGCGGAUGAAGGGAGCUUGCUCCUGGAUUCAGCGGCGGACGGGUGAGUAAUGCCUAGGAAUCUGCCUGGUAGUGGGGGAUAACGUCCGGAAACGGGCGCUAAUACCGCAUACGUCCUGCGGGAGAAAGUGGGGGAUCUUCGGACCUCACGCUAUCAGAGGAGCCUAGGCCGUAUUAGCUAGUUGGUGGGGUAAAGGCCUACCAAGGCGACGAUCCGUAACUGGUCUGAGAGGAUGAUCAGUCACACUGGAACUGAGCCACGGUCCAGACUCCUACGGGAGGGAGCAGUGGGGUAUAUUGGACAAUGGGCGAAAGCCUGAUCCAGCCGUGCCGCGUGUGUUACGAAGGUCUUCGGAUUGUAAAGCCCUUUAAGUUGGGAGGAAGGGCAGUAAGUUGAUACCUUGCUGUUUUGACGUUACCGACAGAAUAAGCACCGGCUAACUUCGUG
rnacentral:rRNA from 1 species